rnacentral:rRNA from 1 species
UGGGGAAUAUUGGACAAUGGGCGAAAGCCUGAUCCAGCCAUGCCGCGUGUGUGAAGAAGGUCUUCGGAUUGUAAAGCACUUUAAGUUGGGAGGAAGGGCAGUAAAUUAAUACUUUGCUGUUUUGACGUUACCGACAGAAUAAGCACCGGCUAACUCUGUGCCAGCAGCCGCGGUAAUACAGAGGGUGCAAGCGUUAAUCGGAAUUACUGGGCGUAAAGCGCGCGUAGGUGGUUCGUUAAGUUGGGUGUGAAAGCCCCGGGCUGAACCUGGGAACUGCAUUCAAAACUGACGAGCUAGAGUAUGGUAGAGGGUGGUGGAAUUUCCUGUGUAGCGGUUAAAUGCGUAGAUAUAGGAAGGAACACCAGUGGCGAAGGCGACCACCUGGACUGAUACUGACACUGAGGUGCGAAAGCGUGGGGAGCAAACA